GCCUUGUGCAUCCCCGUUCGAGCCAUGAUAAACGGGUUGUUAUCUAUGUUGAUGGCUACGUCUGGUUGUGCGUAUCUAUUGUAUUGAGAUAUCUGCCUUGCCUGCCUCUCAGACUCCAUGGUUGUUGUUGUUGUUCUCCUCUCUUGUUGUUUCCCCAUGGCGGCUGUUGAUGCAGACUGUUGUUGAAAGGGGAGAGUAGUAGUAGUGCUGCGGAUGAAUGAUCUCGGGUCAUAUGCAUCUCUACUGCUUCUACCGUUGUCAAAAGGCGCCACAGGGCCCAUGAAUGCGCUUGGUUUGGCAGCUGAUUGAAUAGAAAGAGAUGGUUUCGGUUUAUAGAGUUUGGUUUUGGAAACAUUGGGAUGAGUGUUGAUGAUAAGUACCUGAGAGGUUUCUUUGUUGUGCUUGUAACGUUGCAUGAUGAUUCAGAGGAAUGUUUUGAGUAGUUUCAG
rnacentral:lncRNA from 1 species